GAGUCUUAUUAAUUUCUCGGUGGGGCUGCAGCUGGAGACCGCGGAGCGUUGGAAAUGACGCUCGGAGCUUUAAUUACCGCAGCCGCCGGACAAGUGUGAAGAAAGCUGACAGCAAAAAAAAAAAAAAAAAACAAAACAUAAAAGGACAGGAUCGGGGGUGAAGCGAGAAGCUUCCCCCUCCCGCCCCUUUCCUCCCAAUUUGGACUGGAGGUGCAAGGAAACUGAAAAGGGAGUCGAACAGAGUCGGGCUGGGGGGAGAGGCCGGAAACCUACCGCCUGUUUGCAAUCAACUUUUUUUUUUUUUUUUUUUGGAAACCCUUUUCCGAACCCUUCCUUUUUAUUGUUGGCCAACCAGGGCGAGAGAGCGAGAAAGUAAGGAGGGAGCGAGAAAACGGAGGCUCACACGGGGACGUAGCUGCCCGGUCCGGCUCGGAGCGCCGCCGCACACCCUCCAGUACACUCCCACCCGCGCGCGCCCUCCCGCGCACCCUCUCCCGGUCCUCCGGGUCCGGGCCCUAGACCCGCGGACGCGGACUCAGUCGCCCGCGCUCGGAGCUGGUGCACCGCGCGCGCCAGUGCCCCUCGCGCCCCCACGCGCGCCCGGCCGAGGGAUCUCCUCCGCGUGCCCGAAAGGGGAUUAUGCCAUUUGGACAUGUAAUUGUCAGCACUGGAUCUGAGACUUCCAAAAAAUGAAGCUGGCGACAGGACUGUGGGUCUGGGUGAGCCUUCUCGUGGCGGCGGGGACCGUCCAGCCCAGCUCUUCUCAGUCAGGUGGGUCGCGGUCCUUCUCCCGCUCCCAGGGUUGAACCUGCUGCUGCCGGCCGAGCGGCGCCGGGUGGCUCCUCGCCCCCUGCGCCCUUAGCCCAACCAGAGACCCUCUCGCUCUCGGGCGUGGAGGGACCACGUCACCCGCGCCUCUUCCUUGUGUUUUUCGUUCGCCCCUCUUUCUAUCCCAAACUUACCCUCUGCGUGGGCAUGUGUUUAUUUAUCGUGAAAAACCACUCUGCGCCCCUUUCUCCGUCCCUUUUCUCUUUCUCUCUCCCCUUGUUUAUUUCUCGCGCGUUUUC
rnacentral:lncRNA from 1 species